rnacentral:rRNA from 1 species
GACGCUCCGGUUUGGCACCUCGAUGUCGGUUCAUCGCAUCCUGGGGGUGUAGAAGCUCCCAAGGGUUAGGCUGUUCGCCUAUUAAAGCGGUACGUGAACUGGGUUCAGAACGUCGCGAGACAGUUCGGUCCCUAUCUGUGGUGGGCGUAGGAGAUUUGAGAGGGGUUGUCCUUAGUACGAGAGGACCGGGAUGAACAGACCUCUUGUGAUCCAGUUGUCACGCCAGUGGCAUAGCUGGGUAGCGAAGUCUGGUCGGGAUAAGCGCUGAAAGCAUAUAAGCGCGAAACCUUCCUCGAGAUGAGAUCUCCCAACCGUAAGGUAAGAAGGGCCGUGGUAGACCACCACGUCGAUAGGACGGAUGUGGAAGCGGGGUAACCCGUGAAGCUGACCGUUACUAAUAGCCCGUUCGGCUUGACCAU